UACAUAUAAUGCAAGCGUUAUCCGGAAUGAUUGGGCGUAAAGCGUCUGUAGGUGGUUUUAAAAGUCUAUUGUUAAAAACUAAGGCUUAACCUUAGGUCAGCAAUGGAAACUUUAAAACUAGAGUACGGUAGAGGUAGAGGGAAUUACCGGUGUAACGGUGAAAUGUGCAGAUAUCGGUAAGAACACCAAAGGCGAAAGCACUCUACUGGGCCAAAACUGACACUGAGAGACGAAAGCUAGGGGAGCGAAUAGG
rnacentral:rRNA from 1 species